rnacentral:rRNA from 1 species
UACAGAGGGGGCAAGCGUUGUUCGGAAUUACUGGGCGUAAAGGGCGCGUAGGCGGUCCGCUAAGUUCGGCGUGAAAUCCCCUGGCUCAACUGGGGAACUGCGCUGGAUACUGGUGGACUCGAGUACCGGAGAGGAGAGUGGAAUUCCUGGUGUAGCGGUGAAAUGCGUAGAUAUCAGGAGGAACACCAGUGGCGAAGGCGGCUCUCUGGACGGAUACUGACGCUGAGGCGCGAAAGCGUGGGGAUCAAACAGG